UUGGAGGGCAAGUCUGGUGCCAGCAGCCGCGGUAAUUCCAGCUCCAAUAGCGUAUAUUAAAGUUGUUGCAGUUAAAAAGCUCGUAGUUAAAUUUCGAGAUCAAUUUGUCGGUCGUGCCUCGGUACGUACUGGCAUUAUUGAUUUCUCCCUUCUGAAGAACCGCGACGUCAUUAAUUUGGUGUCGUGGGGAAUCAGGACUGUUACUUUGAAAAAAUUAGAGUGUUUAAAGCAGGCGCACGCUUGAAUACAUUAGCAUGGAAUAAUGAAAUAGGACGUUUGAUUCUAUUUUGUUGGUUUCUAGGAUCGACGUAAUGAUUAAUAGGGAUAGUUGGGGGCAUUAGUAUUCAAUUGUCAGAGGUGAAAUUCUUGGAUUUAUUGAAGACUAACUACUGCGAAAGCAUUUGCCAAGGAUGUUUUCAUUAAUCAAGAACGAAAGUUAGGGGAUCGAAGACGAUCAGAUACCGUCGUAGUCUUAACCAUAAACUAUGCCGACUAGGGAUCGGAUGAUGUUAAUUUUUUAAUGACUCAUUCGGCGCCUUACGGGAAAC
rnacentral:rRNA from 1 species